CGUGCCCUCCAGAAGAGCAGGGGGCAGCACCGUGCCCUCCAGACGAGCAGGGGGCAGCACCGUGCCCUCCAGACGAGCAGGGGGCAGCACCGUGCCCUCCAGACAAGCAGGCGGCAGCACCUUGCCCUCCAGACGAGCAGGGGGCAGCACCGUGCCCUCCAGACGAGCAGGGGGCAGCUCCGGGCCCUCCAGACAAGCAGGGGGCAGCACUGUGCCCUCCAGACAAGCAGGGGGCAGCACCGUGCCCUCAAGACAAGCAGGGGGCAGCACCGUGUCACACACACACACACACACACACACACACACACAAGUACAUUUUCCUGGACCGUAAAUUUUCCAAACGGCUCCAAUCACUAAUUCACAUUUUAUUCUUAUGUUCUUUAUUUGUUUGUUGUUUAUAGUGAUGGCGCGAAGGAGGAGGAAGAGGAGGAGGAGGAAGAGGAGAAGGAAGAGGAAGGAAAAGAGGAGGAGGAGGAGGAAGAGGAAGAGAAGGGGGAGGAGGUGGAAAGGAGGAGUGACCAUGCAUUAUAUUUUUAAGCGAGUUUUGUUGUUUCAAUAAUUUCUUUUAUUUUUUUUAUUUUUUUACUUUACCUUUUCACUUUUUUUGCUUCAUAUUAGUGCUGCCACUGUUCACUUUCAGCCUGCUGCAUGUUUCCCUCCAUGAUCAUUCCUGCCAAGUGUUAGUCUUCUUAGUGGAUCUUUUCUUAAUUCUGUCAGCUUUAUUAUUUUUUUUUGUUGUUUGAGUGCGAUGAUUUUCUUUUGGCUUACACCCGUCCUACGUAUGUCACGAUGUUAAAACUUCACCACAGCAUUGUUCGCCACACACUCCAGUGAGCCUGUUACACGUUUCCUACAGAUGUCACGAUAUUAAUAUUUCAUUAUAAAUAAAUUUGUUAUAUACUCUGA